AUGUAGUCGUGAAGGCAAAAUUAUUCACUACAUCUCACUCUCACUCUCGCUGAAAGUUCGCCGUUUUUUCUUUCUGAUGUUUAAUCUCUCUGAUAACUCUCUCAUUUGAUUUUCUCCGUCUAAGAAAUGGAUAUUUGGGAUGGUGAUCCUCACAUUAUACACACAAAACAAUCAAGAAUCCAACCAGCACGAUGAUAUUUCCUCUCAACAAUAGCCAACUUUCUUUAAUCCGGAGCUGCAUCUGUGGAGUGGGGCAUAGAUUAUCAUAUUUCUGUAGCUCCUCUUAAAGUAUCAUGCUUCUUGCCCGAAUACCUUACAAUGCCCAUGGAAGGAGUUGGAGUUGAUUUGUAUAACAAGGCUAGGCGCCUAGGCCAAUGAUAUGUGAAUCCAGCCGAGAAGAGGUUGUGAUUUCCCUUGAAGGGAAAAUAUCACCUUUACCUAUCAAGGACAGGGACGGCAAUUACAACCAAAGAGUUGAGUGUAUAGUCUUUGUCGCUGGUGAUACUCAACCACAAUCAGAAGCCUUUUAGUUUGAGUAUUUCUUUUGGACUCCAACUUGUUUAUUCACUUGGGGGAAUUGUGGAACUAAUUAAUCUUAUACCUCUUGUUACAGGUAGGGAAACAUGCAGCAUACGGGAAUCCUAACCUCGAAGUAACAGAAAUUGUAAAAUUUGUUGCUCAGGAGAUGAUUUAAUGCCUUUUUGGGCUCCUCCAGUGGUAUGGUCCAAUUACUGAAUGAAGCCAAAAAACGAUGUAAAGCUGUACUUGCUGAACGAGGCAUGGGAAUAAUGUGCACUGAACAAGAGCUCGACCAAACCGCAGCUGCAAUAGCUUUUGGAUUAGGCAAGUAUGUUCCCCGCCCCCCCCCCCACCCCAUACACAAAACAUUCAAGGAUCACCCCGGCACAAUGAUAUCUCCUCUCAGAAAUAAGGUUGGAUACGAUUACAGAAGAUCAAUCCAAAAAAACCAAGAAGAUAACGAUAUAUCUCCUUUACCAACUGUUUUUGAAGUCCAAAGAAGUCUGAUCAUGAUUGCAGGGAACUUGGAAAGUUUGCUCUCUUAGGAUUUUCCAGCUCUAAGGUUUGUCUUAUGAAUUUUCAAAAGAUUGAACUUUAAACUGGAGCGUUUCCGAUGUCUGAACAGAGGAACCCCCACAGAUCCAAAGGCUGAAGACAAGGCAAGUGGAAAGUCACAGAAGAUCUCUGUCACUGACGACAAGAGGAGAGUAAUCAAGCGAUUACUUAAAGAGGCAGAGGAUUUUGCUGAGGAAGAUACAAAAGUCUUGAAAGACGAUUGAUUCACAGAUCAGCUUGCAGACUCUUUGUUUACAAACAUCACGACCCAGAUACAAGGACUAGCUUGCAGACAAGCUGGAAUCAGAUGAGUAAGAGAAGAUUGGAACUGCUGGAAGACAGAACGAGUAACUCAAAUAAGUUGAAGUCAAUUAAAACCCAAUUCCACAUCUAAUAUGAGAAUGCAGCUUUUCUUAUCGAAUGUGUUCAGCAGAUAAACCAAUGUGCACCUGAUGAGAUGCCAAACAAAGGUGGGAAUCACUUUCGAUGGCAAAUCCAGAACACCUCGCAAAAGUGGAACUGAGUAACGCACCUUAUUAUAGAGGUUUAGAGGAAACAGUAAUCUGUUUUUUCUUCUUCUUUUAGUAAUUCUGUUCCUUUAGGUCUCUUGGCCUUGUUUACUGUGAUAAUUGUAUAGACAGUGAUCAAGUUGAUAUAAAUUUGUUUCCUUUUCUCCGGUGGUCAA